UCCUACGGGAGGCAGCAGUGGGGAAUAUUGCACAAUGGGCGCAAGCCUGAUGCAGCCAUGCCGCGUGUAUGAAGAAGGCCUUCGGGUUGUAAAGUACUUUCAGCGGGGAGGAAGGGGUUGAGGUUAAUAACCUUAGCCAUGACGUACCCGCAGAAGAGGCCCCAUUGGGGC
rnacentral:rRNA from 1 species